rnacentral:rRNA from 1 species
GUGGGGAAUAUUGGACAAUGGGCGAAAGCCUGAUCCAGCCAUGCCGCGUGUGUGAAGAAGGUCUUCGGAUUGUAAAGCACUUUAAGUUGGGAGGAAGGGCAUUAACCUAAUACGUUAGUGUUUUGACGUUACCGACAGAAUAAGCACCGGCUAACUUCGUGCCAGCAGCCGCGGUAAUACGAAGGGUGCAAGCGUUAAUCGGAAUUACUGGGCGUAAAGCGCGCGUAGGUGGUUCGUUAAGUUGGAUGUGAAAGCCCCGGGCUCAACCUGGGAACUGCAUCCAAAACUGGCGAGCUAGAGUACGGUAGAGGGUGGUGGAAUUUCCUGUGUAGCGGUGAAAUGCGUAGAUAUAGGAAGGAACACCAGUGGCGAAGGCGACCACCUGGACUGAUACUGACACUGAGGUGCGAAAGCGUGGGGAGCAA